UAUGAGUGUGUGUGUGUGUGUGUGUCAGGGUGUGUGUGUGACAUAUCCUGAUGCACACACACACACACUCACACA